rnacentral:pre_miRNA from 1 species
AAUACAACUGCAAGACCAUAUGUUAAGUCUAUGUUUAACUUUGCAAGUGACUGUUCAACUGUUUUACAAAGUGGCUGUAACAUUUUGCUUUCUUACCAGCAAU